GGGGACGAAGGGCGAAGGGUUAAUAGCCCCUAGCUUGACGGUACCCGACGAGGAAGCCCCGGCUAACUACGUGCCAGCAGCCGCGGUAAUACGUAGGGGGCGAGCGUUGUCCGGAAUCAUUGGGCGUAAAGAGCGUGUAGGCGGCUCGGUAAGUCCGCUGUGAAAACCCGGGGCUCAACCCCGGGCGUGCAGUGGAUACUGCCGGGCUAGAGGACGGCAGAGGCGAGUGGAAUUCCCGGUGUAGCGGUGAAAUGCGCAGAUAUCGGGAGGAACACCAGUAGCGAAGGCGGCUCGCUGGGCCGUUCCUGACGCUGAGACGCGAAAGCUAGGGGAGCGAACAGG
rnacentral:rRNA from 1 species